rnacentral:rRNA from 1 species
CAGCAGCCGCGGUAACACGGAGGGUGCAAGCGUUAAUCGGAAUUACUGGGCGUAAAGCGCACGCAGGCGGUCUGACAAGUCAGAUGUGAAAUCCCCGGGCUUAACCUGGGAACUGCAUUUGAAACUGUCAGGCUGGAGUCUUGUAGAGGGGGGUGGAAUUCCAGGUGUAGCGGUGAAAUGCGUAGAGAUCUGGAGGAAUACCGGUGGCGAAGGCGGCCCCCUGGACAAAGACUGACGCUCAGGUGCGAAAGCGUGGGGAGCAAACAGGAUUAGAUACCCCUGUAGUCCCUGUCUCUUAUAA